GUCCUGAUGGCUCACAUGAAGUUUCGUGCCGUUCCGACCUCGUUUGAUACGGUUAUGGUUAACCACACGGCCCCUCGGGCCCGACCCGAGCCCAGUCAACGUUUUGACCCGAUCAAAUCGGCCCGUGACCCGAAACGACCCUACUUGGGCCCUACAACAGCCACGUAAAGUUUCGGGAUGAUCCGACGUUCUUUCAUGGGGUUACGGACAAUCCACGCCAAACAAGCGUCACGGGCCGACCGAGCCGGGCCAACGGGCCCUCGGGACCCGAAAACUGAAUUUUUUUUCAUCCAAACCCAUUAAAACACGUUACCGAGGUCUCACGCAAAAUUUCAUGCCAAUCCGACGUCGUUUGAUGGGGUUUUGAGAUAUUAUGAUUCCUCAAAAAUUUAAUGUCUGUUCCUGUCACUUAGCUUUUUGUGCAAAAUGUAUAUAUAGGGGAGGGGUGGGUGUUGAGCAGCCCAUGCCCGGGCAAGGCAUGCCAGCGCCCAAGCCAAAGGAGGCUGGUGGCGUGCGUAUAACAGCUCAAAUGCCCCAACGAUGACCGAGAACAAGCGCCCAUCUCCCCUCCUUCCCCCCCACCAAGCGCCCCUCCCCCCCCAUGUUGCCUGCCCACUCGCACAGCUACUCGUGAUUUCAUGCCCAGCGACUAGUGAAUGUGCCUCGACGACCAGCAAACCUCGAAAAUUAUGAUUCCUCGUAAAAUUAAUGUCUGUUCCUGUCACUUUACUUUUUGUGCAAAAUGUAUAUAUAGGGGAGACCAGGGGCUUGAGCAACCCCUGUGCCCAAGCAAGGGUCAGAUGGAAGCACACGAGACGCGAGGUUUAAAGCCUAUACAAGCAAGGCGUCUGUCUCCCCAAGCCCCAUUGCCUAUAAAACAAGCCCGAUGCCUUGUAAAUGCCCCACACGAUGCCUAUAAACGACAACGAUGUUUGCUAGUUAAUCGAUCGACGCCCCACACCUUGCAGCAUGUUGCCUAGUAAACAAGCCAUGCUGCCUUGGAAGCGCCCCACAUCAUGGCAUGUUGCCUAGCACGCUGCCCUUGUUUCCAGCACGGCGACCUGAAAGCGUGGCCUGACGACGUGCUUGCCUUCGAAAAUUAUGAUUCCUCAAAAAAUUAAUGUCUGUUCCUGUCACUUUACUUUUUGU
rnacentral:rRNA from 1 species